GGUGCACGUGAUGAUUAUUAUAGCGAUCAAAGCAUGAUUAUACCAUGAUAUGACCUAUUGAGCUGAUGCACC